UGAAUACGAGACGCCAAGGCGUCGAAGUAGUGUAUGUCAUACUUCCAAGAAAAGCUUGCACUGUCAUAAGUAAAAAAUGCCUGUACCAUAACCGACACAGGUGGGUAGGUAGAGUAUACUAAGGGGCGCGAGAUAACUCUCUCUAAGGAACUCGGCAAAAUAACUCCGUAACUUCGGGAGAAGGAGUACCUUAUUCUAUAAGGUUGCAAUAACAAGAUCCAAGCAACUGUUUAUCAAAAACACAGGUCUCCGCUAAGUCGUAAGACGAUGUAUGGGGGCUGACGCCUGCCCAGUGCCAGAAGGUUAAAGAAGUCGGUUAGCAUUAGCGAAGCUGGUAACUGAAGCCCUGGUGAACGGCGGCCGUAACUAUAACGGUCCUAAGGUAGCGAAAUUCCUUGUCGGGUAAGUUCCGACCCGCACGAAAGGCGUAAUGAUUUGGAUACUGUCUCGGAGAGGGGCUCGGUGAAAUAGACUUGUCUGUGAAGAUGCGGACUACCUGCACCAGGACAGAAAGACCCUAUGAAGCUUUACUGUAACUUGAAAUUGAAAUUGGACUUUAUUCGCGCAGUAUAGGUGGGAGGUGUUGAUUAUAAUCUUGCGGGAUUAUUGGAGCCAUCAGUGAGAUACCACUCUUGAAAUGUUAGAUUUCUAACUUUGAAUCAUUAUCUGGUCAAAGGACAGUUUCAGGCGGGCAGUUUGACUGGGGCGGUCGCCUCCCAAACGGUAACGGAGGCGUACAAAGGUUUCCUCUGAACGGGUAGAAAUCGUAUCUAGAGUGUAAAGGCAUAAGGAAGCUUGACUGUGAGACCUACAAGUCGAACAGGGACGAAAGUCGGUCUUAGUGAUCUGACGGUACUGAGUGGAAAGGCCGUCACUCAACGGAUAAAAGUUACUCUAAGGAUAACAGGCUGAUCUCCCCCAAGAGUUCACAUCGACGGGGAGGUUUGGCACCUCGAUGUCGGCUCAUCGCAUCCUGGGGCGGUAGUACGUCCCAAGGGUUGGGCUGUUCGCCCAUGAAAGCGGUACGCGAGCUGGGUUCAGAACGUCGUGAGACAGUUCGGUCCAUAUCCGGUGUAGGCGUUAGAAUAUUGAGAGGAGCCUUCUUUAGUACGAGAGGACCGAGAAGGACAUACCUCUGGUGUACCAGUUAUCGUGCCAACGGUAAACGCUGGGUAGCUAUGUAUGGAGUGGAUAACCGCUGAAAGCAUCUAAGUGGGAAGCCCACCUCAAGAUAAG
rnacentral:rRNA from 1 species